AUGAUUGAGAGUAGCCGUUUUGUUCUUGUGUAUCAUUUGUUGAGCACGAAUCAGAGAUGCAAGAUUGUGAAGAUUGAAGGUUGGGGAGUUGCAGAGAUGGAGUGUGGACUGUUUUUGAGGAUGGUUAGGAGGUUUGGUUCAUAUCAGGGCUAUUGGGAAGCAAAGGCAAAAGGAAAACACCAAGAUGAUAUGAAGUUGGAACAAAGACGCAUAACACGAAGUUUUGGAAACUUGAAGUUUGAAACAUGA